UGCAGCAGCUACUGGUAAAUUUCAAAAAUAAAAAUGGAUACCAAUAAAAUUACAUUAAUUGAGGCAUCAGUAGGUUAAAGGUUUUUGAAUAUUUAUUUCAAAGAAAAACAGUAAACUAGCUCUGUAAGGGGAAAAAAGGGUCAACAAAAACAAUAUGGUAUCAACAAUAACUUUAACAGUACAAAAACCUUAGCUCUAUCAGCAACUAAGCUAAAACAGCUAAAACAGCUAAAAGAGUUAAAAUCCUUCAAAACUGGAUUCCUCAUCAUCUGUAUAUCCAAACAGAGCUUCAACUGUAGCUGGUGUGAGCUUAUCAGCGUAGACAUUGUCAUCAUCAAUGAGUUCGCAGUCAUCACCAUCACUGCUGUUGUUCUCAUACAAAGCGCUGUCUUCUCUGCCAUCCAUAGCAUUACUAAUGCCACAUUUCUUGAAGGCGCGUUGCACCAUGUCCUCUGGAAUCUCUUCCCAUGCAUCACAAACCCAUUUUGCUAUCAAUUCUAUGUCGGGCUUCAUCAGAUUUCAACUUUUGUCAGUCGGGGGUGACCAGAUGACAUCCAUUCAUGCCACCUCUUUUGCACACAGUCUUUGAAAGGUUUAUUUAAACACACAUGUAGGAGCUGCAAUACAGAUGUAAGCCCACUUGGGAUAACGGCCAAAGUAACUUGAGAAGACUUUUUUUUUUUAUGUCAUCAGAUGUGUGGGCUCUGAACAUAUCCCAAACUAGCAAUGAUGUUUUUUUUCUUUAAGGCUGCUCCUGGUCGUCCGUUCCAAAUUUCUUCCAGCCAUUUUUUUGUUCCGUCUUCAUCCAUCCAGCCUCUAACAUGUGCGCGCACUCUAAUUCGUGGUGGGAAUUUUACCUUUUUAGGCAAGGUCUUUCUUUUAAAAAUAAUGACAGGCCGUAGCUUAGUUUCAUUAGCCAAACAUGACAGAACGACUGUGAAAUGUUUGUUUUUCAUUUCCUGUGGUUCUGAGUAAAAUAGAUUUGCCUUCCAAACUUGCCACAGUUCUGUUGCUUGGAAGAUCAAAGGUCAUAGGUGUUUCAUAAAUAUUCCCAAUAUCUCCCAGGUCAUAGUUAUGGAUCCUUCUUUGUUUUAUGAUGAAUGAAUGAAAUGACAUAAAUUUUUCAUCAAGGUCUUUUGGCAACUUCUGUGAAAUCUUUGUUCUUUGCCGCAAACAUAGGGCAAAUCAAUUCAUAAAGCGGGAACACCAUUCUGCUGACGCAACAAAAUUUUCAAUGCCUGGUGCUUUUAAUUUGUCAUCUUGCCAUUUGAAGGGCACGUAAGCAAAUUCCCAUGCGUGUUACGCAGUAUCCAUUUUGACGACACUCUAUAACCCAUUUAUGCAAUUCAGUCUCUAGAGCCCCAUAUGAAGUCGUUAAACCACUUCGAGCUUUUUUUUAAAAAAGAAUACCAACUAUGUUUGCAUGUUGAUUGAAAGCCUUCAGAAAUGGCAUCAUAAAUCCAUCUUUUCAAUUCUGUUUGGGGUGAGCUUCUUUC